GACGAACGCUGGCGGCGUGCCUAAUACAUGCAAGUAGAACGCUGAAGGAGGAGCUUGCUCUUCUGGAUGAGUUGCGAACGGGUGAGUAACGCGUAGGUAACCUGCCUGGUAGCGGGGGAUAACUAUUGGAAACGAUAGCUAAUACCGCAUAAGAGUAGAUGUUGCAUGACAUUUGCUUAAAAGGUGCAAUUGCAUCACUACCAGAUGGACCUGCGUUGUAUUAGCUAGUUGGUGAGGUAACGGCUCACCAAGGCAACGAUACAUAGCCGACCUGAGAGGGUGAUCGGCCACACUGGGACUGAGACACGGCCCAGACUCCUACGGGAGGCAGCAGUAGGGAAUCUUCGGCAAUGGACGGAAGUCUGACCGAGCAACGCCGCGUGAGUGAAGAAGGUUUUCGGAUCGUAAAGCUCUGUUGUAAGAGAAGAACGAGUGUGGGAGUGGAAAGUUC
rnacentral:rRNA from 1 species